AAUUUCAGCUGAAAAAGUCAUAAACAUAAAAGUUGUAGAGCUCAUCAAGACAUACAACUUUUAUUUUGGUCAUUUCUUCAUCCGAUAAAAUGAUAAUAACAUUGUUCACAAUGUUUAUAUAUCUCUCCUAUAGUUUACAGUACUAUAAGAGAUAGAUGUAAAUUUUGUGAAGAAUGUUACUAUCACUUUAUCGGAUGAAGAAAUGACCAAAAUAAGAUUUUGAUGAGUUAUAUAACUUUGUUGUUGAUGACUUUUUCAGUUGAAAUC
rnacentral:pre_miRNA from 1 species